AUUGAACGCUGGCGGCAUGCUUUACACAUGCAAGUCGAACGGUAACAGGCCGCAAGGUGCUGACGAGUGGCGAACGGGUGAGUAAUGCAUCGGAACGUGCCCAGUCGUGGGGGAUAACUACUCGAAAGAGUAGCUAAUACCGCAUACGAUCUAUGGAUGAAAGCGGGGGACCGUAAGGCCUCGCGCGAUUGGAGCGGCCGAUGUCGGAUUAGGUAGUUGGUGGGGUAAAGGCUCACCAAGCCAACGAUCUGUAGCUGGUCUGAGAGGACGACCAGCCACACUGGGACUGAGACACGGCCCAGACUCCUACGGGAGGCAGCAGUGGGGAAUUUUGGACAAUGGGCGCAAGCCUGAUCCAGCAAUGCCGCGUGCAGGAAGAAGGCCUUCGGGUUGUCAACUGCUUUUGUACGGAACGAAACGGCUCUGGUUAAUACCCGGGGCUAAUGACGGUACCGUAAGAAUAAGCACCGGCUAACUACGUG
rnacentral:rRNA from 1 species